rnacentral:lncRNA from 1 species
UAUUUGUUCCCACUACUCGCUAGCACGGAAGUUCUUCCUCCCAGAAAGGAUGGUGGACAGGUUGCUUCUUGAAGUUUCAAGAAACAAAAAAAAAAGGUUUCUUCUUGAAGAACAUCAGAACAAACUUUUUCUUUUUUACUUAUGUUGAAAUCAAUAUGCCACUGUGCAGGUGGUUGAUUUACUUGCAAGGACUGAAGCAACUCAGAGUUCUACUGAAUACUCAGGGGUCCACGAAAACUUUACAGCACAGGACAAGGACGGGAAAAAACAGUAGCAGGUAAUAUCACAAGAACCUGUUCUCUUAUUGUACCACACUAUGCUAUAUAUUCCCUCGGUCCUAAAAUAAGUGUCUUAAGCUUAGUACAACUUUGUACUAGAGCUAAUACAAAGUUGAGACAGUUAUUUUGAGACGGAGGGAGUAUAACAGAAGCCAGUCUUCUUUUAGAUUACACACAUCAUCCAGUGCGCUCAAACUGUUUAUUCAAUGCAGCGCGUGGUUCGAUUCAGGAGUUGGUCGUGACCAAGCGUCACUUCGCUUCGGGUAAUUUCCAGCCAAUCACUUCGAGUUGAAGAGUGAUAAUCUGCAGCACACACAACUCAUAUCAUGAAUGUAAUUUUCCAAGCUCAUUAUCGAACUCAGCAGUAAUUCAUAUGGCAUUUCAGAUUGGACUUGUCUUGUGGUGCAGAGAUCGUGCUUGUGGCAACAACUCACCCGAGCCUGAGAGAUGUGUCGGAGCUGUCCUCGGUGU